GGGGCUGACCGGUUUCGACGUGGAGACUGGGAGCCGGACGUGCGACCCGAGUUUCUCAGACUCGUUAAACGGGGAACCAACAGAAGCGCCGAUGGCGACUUCGCUCUCGCCGCCUAGUACUCACUAGGAACUAGAGAGACACCGUGACCAGCAAUGGCACACGGGGCCUGACCACUACAGCCCGGCAACAGAAGUAGAGGUUGACGGCGGGAAAGACCGCUGACGGCGAGAAAGAACGCUGGCACCUCGGAAAGACGAGGCGGAGGGCGCAAGCCCGACCAACCCGGUGGUGAGCCAGCCGUCAUGGCUCGAGCUCGGGAACGGUCGUAGCGCGGUCGUCAACCGCUUCGCGGACGGGAGUUCGAUUCUCCCCAGCUCCACCA
rnacentral:tmRNA from 1 species